rnacentral:rRNA from 1 species
UGCCAGCAGCCGCGGUAACACGUACUGUGCGAACGUUAUUCGGAUUCAUUGGGCGUAAAGAGCGCGUAGGCGGCCCUAUAAGUCAGAUGUGAAAGCCCGGGGCUUAACCCCGGAAGUGCAUUUGAAGCUAUUGGGCUUGAGUAUGGGAGAGGGAAGUGGAAUUCCUGGUGUAGAGGUGAAAUUCGUAGAUAUCAGGAGGAACACCGGUGGCGAAGGCGACUUCCUGGACCAAUACUGACGCUGAGGCGCGAAGGCGUGGGGAGCAAACAGGAUUAGAUA